rnacentral:rRNA from 1 species
GACGAACGCUGGCGGCGUGCUUAACACAUGCAAGUCGUGCGGUAAGGCCCUUUCGGGGGUACACGCUCGGGGAACGGGCGAGUAACACGCGAGCAACUUGCCUUCCACUGUCGGAUAACUGCCUGCAACGAUCGGUAGCACCGGCUAGAACUUCCCUACGCCUGUGGGGUGGUGGAUAGACAUUGGGGGGGGGGGGAUGGGCUCGCGGUUUAUCAGCUUGUUGGUGGGGUGUUGGCGUACCAAGGCGUUGACGGGUAGCCGGCCUGAGAGGGUGACCGGCCACACUGGGACUGAGACACGGCCCAGACUCCUACGGGAGGCAGCAGUGGGGAAUAUUGGACAAUGGGCGGAAGCCUGAUCCAGCAACGCCGCGUGAGGGAUGACGGCCUUCGAGUUGUAAACCUCUUUCGCCUGCGACGAAGCGAGAGUGACGGUAGCAGGUAAAGAAGCACCGGCCAACUACGUG